CAAGGAUAAAAACACGGCGCGGUUGGUAGUCCGCGCGCCGGAAAAUGUUUCCGGCCAGUAACCUGCCCUCCCAUGGGUUGUCCGUUCUUUGCGUAUUUU
rnacentral:ncRNA from 1 species